UACGUAGGGGACGAGCGUUGUCCGGAUUCAUUGGGCGUAAAGAGCUCGUAGGCGGCUUGUCAAGUCGGGUGUGAAACCUCCAGGCUCAACCUGGAGACGCCACUCGAGACUGUCAUGGCUAGAGUCCGGUAGGGAUCACGGAAUUCCUGGUGUAGCGGUGGAAUGCGCAGAUAUCAGGAGGAACACCGAUGGCGAAGGCAGGUCUCUGGGCCACUACUGACGUGAGAAGCGAAAGCAUGGGGAGCGAACAGG
rnacentral:rRNA from 1 species